rnacentral:rRNA from 1 species
CCCUUAGAUGUUCUGGGCAGCACGCGCACUACAAUGGUCUUCGCAAACGGAUGCAUUCUCGAAGGAGAAUGCCAAUCUUGGAAUCUAUGCCUUGGUCGGGACAGUUGCUUGCAAUUUUUCGACUCGAACCAGGAAUUCCUUGUAAUCGUGAUUCAUCACAUCACGAUGAAUACGUCCCUGCCCUUUGUACACACCGCCCGUCGCUCCUACCGAUCGAAGAGUUAGGUGAAUUGUUUUGAUCGAUAAGAUUUGACUAUGGUCAACUCUCGUUGUGAAAUUCUGUGAAUCUGACUGUUUAGAGGAAGGAGAAGUCGUAACA